rnacentral:sRNA from 1 species
AUUUGGAAACUUGGUUUCCCGGAGGGCGGCUGUGAGGACGGCUUCCAGCAGGGAGCUUCCCCUCUGGCGUCACCGGGAGGCUCCCCGAAGGGGUCCCCUGCGCCCUCCCUGGCCCGGCCCGGGACCCCUCUGCCCUCGCCGCAGGCCCCGCGGGUGGAUCUGCAGGGAGCCGAGCUCUGGAAGCGCUUUCAUGAGAUAGGCACUGAGAUGAUCAUCACCAAGGCCGGCAGGCGCAUGUUUCCAGCAAUGAGAGUGAAGAUCUCUGGAUUAGAUCCUCACCAGCAAUAUUACAUUGCCAUGGAUAUUGUACCAGUGGACAACAAAAGAUACAGGUAUGUUUACCACAGCUCAAAAUGGAUGGUGGCAGGUAAUGCUGACUCGCCUGUGCCACCCCGUGUGUACAUUCAUCCAGACUCGCCUGCCUCCGGGGAGACUUGGAUGAGACAAGUGAUCAGCUUCGACAAGCUGAAGCUCACCAACAAUGAACUGGAUGACCAAGGCCAUAUUAUUCUUCAUUCUAUGCACAAAUACCAACCGCGAGUGCACGUCAUCCGUAAAGACUGUGGAGACGAUCUUUCUCCCAUCAAGCCUGUUCCAUCUGGAGAGGGAGUAAAGGCAUUCUCCUUUCCAGAAACUGUUUUCACAACCGUCACUGCCUAUCAGAAUCAGCAGAUUACUCGCCUGAAGAUAGAUAGGAAUCCAUUUGCUAAAGGCUUCCGAGACUCUGGGCGCAACAGGUAAUAGUGAACGAACCUCUACAAGAAGUGAGAUGAUAGAUGCAUAUGACAAGUUUUCAGGAAGAAUUCUAGAUAUUCAGCAUAAUGAAAAUACAUUUGGAUACUUAAAUUUGGUCAGUGAAAAAGACAGUGGUGUUGUUGAAUAUAAAAUACUAGGCCUAUUGUUUGAUAUGGUGAGUUCAAAAAGCUAGCUUUGAUAUGGAUUUUUCUGUCCUUUUGGCUGUUUCAGGAGUAUGUAAGCCUGACAUCCAUGGUGCUUGUUACUAUUUCUUCCCUGACUAUAAAACUUUAAAAAUUUUGGAGGAACAUACAGAAGACAGUGAAUUAUGUUUUAAUGCUUUUAAGAUUUUGUUAAAAUUUAAAAUUUUUAUUUUGUUACAAGUGUUUAAACAAUAUUAUAGUACAUGAAAAGCACAUUGAGCCUAUAUAUGGCUUUCUUGCUAGUGAAAUAAAGUUUCAACUUUUUUCCUUGCUGAAACUCUCUUGCUUAUUAUAGACAAGCUAUUUACUAAUACUUCUCACU